rnacentral:tRNA from 1 species
GCGCCCAUAGCUCAGUUGGCAGAGCAGUCGCCUCUUAAGCGAACGGUCGAAGGUUCGAAUCCUUCUGGGCGCA